UGGGGAAUAUUGGGCAAUGGGGGAAACCCUGACCCAGCAACGCCGCGUGAAGGAAGAAGGCUUUCGGGUUGUAAACUUCUUUUACCAGGGACGAAGGACGUGACGGUACCUGGAGAAAAAGCCACGGCUAACUACGUGCCAGCAGCCGCGGUAAUACGUAGGUGGCAAGCGUUGUCCGGAUUUACUGGGUGUAAAGGGCGUGUAGGCGGAGAAGCAAGUCAGAAGUGAAAUCCAUGGGCUUAACCCAUGAACUGCUUUUGAAACUGUUUCCCUUGAGUAUCGGAGAGGCAGGCGGAAUUCCUAGUGUAGCGGUGAAAUGCGUAGAUAUUAGGAGGAACACCAGUGGCGAAGGCGGCCUGCUGGACGACAACUGACGCUGAGGCGCGAAAGCGUGGGGAGCAAACAGGAUUA
rnacentral:rRNA from 1 species